rnacentral:rRNA from 1 species
AACGAACGCUGGCGGCAUGCCUAACACAUGCAAGUCGAACGGGAUCCUAGCUUGCUAGGUGAGAGUGGCGGACGGGUGAGUAACACGUGGGAAUCUGCCUUUUGGUUCGGGAUAACCGCGGGAAACUGCGGCUAAUACCGAAUGCCCUCGAGAGAGGAAAGAUUUAUCGCCAGAAGAGGAGCCCGCGUCCGAUUAGGUAGUUGGUGGGGUAAAGGCCUACCAAGCCGACGAUCGGUAGCUGGUCUGAGAGGAUGAUCAGCCACACUGGGACUGAGAUACGGCCCAGACUCCUACGGGAGGCAGCAGUGGGGAAUAUUGGACAAUGGGGGCAACCCUGAUCCAGCAAUGCCGCGUGGAGUGAUGAAGGCCUUAGGGUGUAAGCUCUUUGCCAGGAGAUGAU